UUAGUGUCGCCUUUCGCCUUGAUAACACUGAUAGAACCUUAGACUUGCGCAAUGCUUGUUGUUUUUUAAUUUCCCUCUUGUAUGCAAAUUCACCCCUUGGUGCAUGAUAGUGCUAUGUUAUUGUCCUUACUUUUCAGUUUUCACACACACACACAAAAAGGGAAAAUAUUAUAAAAACUCAAAUGCAAUGAUUUUACAAGAUUUAGCACAGGGAAAAACCCUUAAAAAUGGAAUGUUGAAAAGGAAAAUACAUACUUAAAGAAAUUUAAGU
rnacentral:misc_RNA from 1 species